ACAGAUCGCUGUUUCCAGCUCCGAGGGAACGGAGUGGGCCAGGCUUAGAGCUGAGUGAGAGUGAAUACUUCCUCACCUGGGCUCCAGAAUCUUCGCUCCGUGAUCCCCAUGACAUCUUGU